ACCUGCCAACCUACCUGCAUGAUAUCCAAUCAAUCUCUAUGUGAAUAGACAUUGUUAGCUAGAUAGCUAGCUACCUAUCUACCUCACUGCCUACUAACCACCCUACCAGCUCAAUAUCUAAUCAAUCUAUAUGAGAAUAAACAUCACCUAUCUAUCAAUGAUAUCUAGCAAUGAUAUGUAUCGAUGAUGAUAUAUAAUAUCUAAGAGUGUAGCAGCUAUCAUAGCUGCCUUUGGUCUAGAUGCACAACAAACUAGAUAAUGUCAAUGCAUUUAUGAACAGCAAGAUUGAUGAGAUAGUUUACGUUGAUCGACCUGAUCGUUGGUGGAAGUUAAAUUGGGUACGGGGAUCUAAAGAGGAAGAGCCAUGCCCUCUAUGGCCGACAAAGAUCGCCACUCCUUUGGAUUAAUGAGCUAUCUUCUACCUUCCGAAGACUAGGUUUUACAUCAAUAUCCGAGGAUAGAUGCCUCUUCUCAAAUGAUCGCCUAAUUAUAUUCUUUCACAUCGCUGAUAUCACUGUCCCGUCACACCCUAAAGAUUUGGAGGAAAGAAAGCGAUCAAUUGAUCGCUGAUCUCCAAGGAUAUGUACGAGAUUCGACAUAUGGAAAACCUUCUGUUGUUCCUUAAUAUGAGAAUUACUAGGGAUAGAGCCUCAAUCAAGUUAUGGCCCUGUCAGAAUACAGACACCCAGCUGGACUGGUUGGAAUUUGUGAGGUGAUUUUAAACACGAUGGGAUCUCGUUUUCCUACCACGUUCCAACUCAACUAGAUGCUCAUGAAAAAAAAAAAAAAAAUCUGUGGAUCCCCUAAUAUUAAAACCAUGGAGUUUUAGAAUCACAGAAUCACAUGCGAAGCAAGUCGAGGGAUUGUGCAGUAAAUGGGGCAAUUUUCAGAGAGUAUAAAAAAGACGCA
rnacentral:sRNA from 1 species